GACGAACGCUGGCGGCGUGCUUAACACAUGCAAGUCGAACGGAAAGGCCCUGCUUGCAGGGUACUCGAGUGGCGAACGGGUGAGUAACACGUGGGUGAUCUGCCCUUCACCUCGGGAUAAGCCUGGGAUACUGGGUCUAAUACCGGACUGGUGCCCUUUUUAGUGUGAUGGUUGGAAAGUUUUUUCGGUGUAGGAUGAGAUCGCGGCCUAUCAGCUUGUCGGUGGGGUAAUGGCCUACCAAGGCGGCGACGGGUAGCCGGCCUGAGAGGGUGGACGGCCACAAUGGGACAGAGAUACGGCGCAGACGCCUGCGGGAGGCAGCAGUGGGGAAGAGUGCACAAGAGGCGCAAGCCGGGUGCAGCGACGGCGCGUGGGGGAGGACGGACUUCGGGUUGUAAACGCCGUUCGCUAGGGACGAAGCGUUUUGUGACGGUACCGAGAGAAGAAGCACCGGCUAACUACGUG
rnacentral:rRNA from 1 species